AAUGAACGUUGGCGGCGUGGAUUAGGCAUGCAAGUCGAGCGAGAACCCCGCAAGGGGGGACAGCGGCGAAAGGGACAGUAAUGUGUAGAUUAUCUGCCCUCAGGUCCGGGAUAGCUGCGGGAAACUGCAGGUAAUACCGGAUAACAUCUCCGGAUCAAAGGAGUGAUUCCGCCUGAGGAUGAGUCUGCAUCCUAUUAGCUAGUUGGUGGGGUAAUGGCCUACCAAGGCAUUGAUGGGUAGCAGGUGUGAGAGCACGACCUGCGUCAUUGGGACUGAGACACUGCCCAGACACCUACGGGUGGCUGCAGUCGAGAAUCUUCGGCAAUGGGCGCAAGCCUGACCGAGCGACGCCGCGUGUGGGAUGAAGGCCUUCGGGUUGUAAACCACUGUCAGAGGGGAUGAAAUGCAGGUGGGUUCUCCCAUCUGUUUGACAUAGCCUCAGAGGAAGGACGGGCUAAGUUCGUG
rnacentral:rRNA from 1 species